UACGCUGUUAUCCCUAAAGUAACUUAAUCUUGUAAUCUCUAAGAGAGGAUCAAUUAAACUAAUUAUCAUUAUUCAAUAAAAUUAACAGUUACUUAUUAUAUCUUUGUCGCCCCAACAUAACAAACAGAACAGUAAAUAACAUUAUACUUUAAUUCAAAAAAUACAAAUCUUCGCUUGUAAAGUUUUAUAGGGUCUUAUCGUCCCCCUAAUUCAUUUAAGCCUUUUCACUUAAAAGUAAAAUUCAAACUUUAUAUAAAAGACAGCCAACUCCUUGUCCGACCAUUCAUUCCAGCCUCCAAUUAAAAG
rnacentral:rRNA from 1 species